GCCCUGGAGGUUGCAAAAAAUUGGUGGCUGCGACUGUUUAUUAAAAACAUAGCACUGUGCAAACACGAAAGUGGACGUAUACGGUGUGACGCCUGCCCGGUGCCGGAAGGUUAAUUGAUGGGGUUAGCGUAAGCGAAGCUCUUGAUCGAAGCCCCGGUAAACGGCGGCCGUAACAAUAACGGUCCUAAGGUAGCGAAAUUCCUUGUCGGGUAAGUUCCGACCCGCACGAAAGGCGUAAUGAUUUGGAUACUGUCUCGGAGAGAGGCUCGGUGAAAUAGACUUGUCUGUGAAGAUGCGGACUACCUGCACCUGGACAGAAAGACCCUAUGAAGCUUUACUGUAACUUGAAAUUGAAAUUGGACUUUAUUCGCGCAGUAUAGGUGGGAGGCGUUGAGAAUACUCUUGCGGGAGUAUAGGAGCUAUUAGUGAGAUACCACUCUUAUAAUGUUAGGUUUCUAACUUUGAACCAUUAUCUGGUCAAAGAACAGUUUCAGGCGGGCAGUUUGACUGGGGCGGUCGCCUCCCAAAUGGUAACGGAGGCGUACAAAGGUUUCCUCUGAACGGAUAGAAAUCGUAUCUAGAGUAUAAAGGCAUAAGGAAGCUUGACUGUGAGACCUACAAGUCGAGCAGGGACGAAAGUCGGUCUUAGUGAUCUGACGGUACUGAGUGGAAAGGCCGUCACUCAACGGAUAAAAGUUACUCUAAGGAUAACAGGCUGAUCUCCCCCAAGAGUUCACAUCGACGGGGAGGUUUGGCACCUCGAUGUCGGCUCAUCGCAUCCUGGGGCGGUAGUACGUCCCAAGGGUUGGGCUGUUCGCCCAUGAAAGCGGUACGCGAGCUGGGUUCAGAACGUCGUGAGACAGUUCGGUCCAUAUCCGGUGUAGGCGUUAGAAUAUUGAGAGGAGCCUUCUUUAGUACGAGAGGACCGAGAAGGACAUACCUCUGGUGUACCAGUUAUCGUGCCAACGGUAAACGCUGGGUAGCUAUGUAUGGAGUGGAUAACCGCUGAAAGCAUCUAAGUGGGAAGCCCACCUCAAGAUAAGUAUUCUCAUCACAUAAGUGAGUAAGGUCACGGUAAGACUAACCGUUUGAUAGGCAUUAAGUGUAAGUACAGUAAUGUAUGUGCUGAGAUGUCCUAACAGACCGAGGACUUG
rnacentral:rRNA from 1 species